GCCUGGGUGGCUCAGUAAGUUAAGCAACUGACUUCAGUUCAGAUCAUGAUCUCACAGUCGUGGGUUUAAGUCCCACAUCAGGCU
rnacentral:tRNA from 1 species